CUACCGCUGCUUGUUCGACGGUGUUUUGCACACGAGCGCCACCCGUUGACCCGCCAGGGUGACUGCUUUGGCUUACCCCGGAAAUUGCUCGACUUUCGGCCGCAAAGUGAUUAACGUGGCGUAAAAUACGACUUCUUUCUCACCUUCGACAGCCUCCGCUCAUCCCGUCCGCCCGCUGCGCCGCACCGCCCUUCCGCAAGAUCAUGGAAAACUCCAACAACGUACCGCUGGACCUCAGAUCUGGCAUCUGCUGUUGCGCUUCAUCCCAGUCUCCCCAUCUCAUCAUCCAAAUGCUGCCGCAGGUCAUCUAAAAAA